rnacentral:tRNA from 1 species
AAUAAAGUGCCUGAUAAAAAGGAUUAUUCUGAUAGGGUAAAUUAUGUAGAAUUCUACCUUUAUUA